UAGACUCGGCGCAUGUCCAGCCCCCGUCACCAACCGGCCGACACACCGGGUUUCCUGCAAAUGUGAGCCCUGUGGAAGUGUUACAGGACUCUGCGAUGAUGAAGCCUUCUAAUUUUCUAUUUCAUGGUCCCAUCCUGGUAGCCCUCAGGAGCAGCCAAGGAGUUGUGGUGCACUCUGCAACAAUGGCGACGGUCUCUGAGCAAGCACGAAGCGUGUGGCCCGAGGACCUGGGCAUUCUUAGGAGAGGGAAUGAGAGACAAUAGCCCGGUGUCAGCAGGGACUCUCCCAGACGGCACGU